CGAAGGGUGCAAGCGUUACUCGGAAUUACUGGGCGUAAAGCGUGCGUAGGUGGUUUGUUAAGUCUGCUGUGAAAGCCCUGGGCUCAACCUGGGAAUUGCAGUGGAUACUGGCUGACUAGAAUGUGGCAGAGGGUAGCGGAAUUCCUGGUGUAGCAGUGAAAUGCGUAGAGAUCAGGAGGAACAUCCGUGGCGAAGGCGGCUACCUGGGCCAACAUUGACACUGAGGCACGAAAGCGUGGGAGCAAACAGGAUU
rnacentral:rRNA from 1 species